rnacentral:rRNA from 1 species
CGGGAGGCAGCAGUUAGGAAUCUUCCACAAUGGGCGCAAGCCUGAUGGAGCGACACUGCAUGAGGGAUGAAGGUUCUAGGAUCGUAAACCUCUGAACCAGGGACGAUAAUGACGGUACCUGGGUAAUAGCACCGGCUAACUCCGUGCCAGCAGCCGCGGUAAUACGGAGGGUGCAAGCGUUAUCCGGAAUCACUGGGCGUAAAGGGCGCGUAGGCGGUUUGUUAAGUCCGAUGUUAAAGACCGAGGCUCAACCUCGACACGGCGCUGGAUACUGGCAAGCUGGACGGUUGGAGAGGAAGGUAGAAUUACCAGUGUAGCGGUGGAAUGCGUAGAUACUGGUAGGAAUACCCAUUGCGAAGGCAGCCUUCUGGACAACACGUGACGCUGAGGCGCGAAAGUGUGGGGAGCAAACCGGAUUAGAUACCCGGGUAGUCCACACCCUAAAC